AUCCGACCUCUAUAGGUAUCCACAAGAAUGAUCUAGGAUGCUCCUCUUAAACUCGAUCUAUCUUCUCCAAGAAAAAUCAGCAUACACUCUUUCUCUUAGUGUGGAGAUGGAAUGCCUAACUCCUUGGGCAUGUGGAAGAUGGAGGACACCCAACACUUAGGUGUGGAGAGGAGGGGAUGCCCAACAUCUUUGGGCAUGAGGCAUGAGGGAGAUAGAAAGGAAGGGCGUGAGGCAAGAGAGAGAGGUGCAGGCUUUUCU
rnacentral:lncRNA from 1 species